GCGCCGAGGUUAAGGCGUGGCGUCCGCUCCGGGCGCCUGAAGGAGACUUGGAGAGGCCUGGGUAGCAACUUUUAGGUCGGUGGGAAUUGCAGCUGCCGUCCCUGCCCGCGCUCCAUGAGGAAGAUGCUCGCCGCCGUUUCCCGUGUGUUGUCGGGCGUCGCCCAGAAGCCGGCAAGCAGAGUGCUGGUGGCCUCCCGUAGUUUUGCAAACGAUGCUACGUUUGAAAUUAAGAAAUGUGAUCUACACCGGCUGGAAGAGGGCCCUCCUGUCACGACAGUGCUCACCAGGGAGGACGGGCUCAGAUACUACAGGAUGAUGCAGACUGUCCGCCGAAUGGAGUUAAAGGCAGAUCAGCUGUAUAAACAGAAAAUUAUUCGUGGUUUCUGUCACUUGUGUGAUGGUCAGGAAGCUUGUUGUGUGGGCCUGGAGGCCGGCAUCAACCCCACAGACCAUCUUAUCACAGCCUAUCGGGCUCACGGCUUUACCUUUACUCGUGGGCUGUCUGUCCGAGAAAUUCUCGCCGAGCUUACAGGACGAAGAGGAGGUUGUGCUAAAGGAAAAGGAGGAUCGAUGCAUAUGUAUGCCAAGAACUUCUACGGGGGCAAUGGCAUUGUCGGAGCUCAGGUGCCCCUGGGAGCUGGGAUUGCUCUGGCCUGUAAGUAUUUUGGAAAAGAUGAGGUCUGUUUGACUUUAUAUGGCGAUGGUGCUGCUAAUCAGGGUCAGAUAUUCGAAGCUUACAAUAUGGCAGCUUUGUGGAAAUUGCCUUGUAUUUUCAUCUGUGAAAAUAACCGCUACGGAAUGGGAACUUCUGUUGAGAGAGCAGCAGCCAGCACUGAUUAUUACAAGAGAGGUGACUUCAUCCCUGGGCUGAGGGUAGAUGGAAUGGAUAUCCUGUGUGUCCGGGAGGCGACAAGGUUUGCAGCUGCCUAUUGUAGAUCUGGAAAGGGGCCCAUACUGAUGGAGCUGCAGACUUACCGUUACCAUGGACACAGCAUGAGUGAUCCUGGAGUCAGUUAUCGUACACGAGAAGAAAUUCAGGAAGUAAGAAGUAAGAGUGACCCUAUCAUGCUUCUCAAGGAUAGAAUGGUGAACAGCAACCUUGCCAGUGUUGAAGAAUUAAAGGAAAUUGAUGUUGAAGUGAGGAAAGAAAUUGAGGAUGCCGCCCAGUUUGCCACAGCUGAUCCCGAACCACCUUUGGAAGAACUAGGCCAUCACAUCUACAGCAGCGAUCCGCCUUUUGAAGUUCGCGGUGCGAAUCAGUGGAUCAAGUUUAAGUCCAUCAGUUAAUGGGUGUCUGCACGUAAUGGAUGGUUACACCUUCCGUGGGCUGUUCGGCAGCAACUUGGACUGAUUAAGCUUCAUCUUGGGUUGCUGGGGACCCCUGAGCCCGUCUUCUGUACUGGGAGACUGCAGUCCAGAGCCUGCAGAGGAGACCACCACUACGAGACAAGAGUCUUCUUUAGAGUCAUAAGAAAAGAUCGCUUCAGAGCAACACCACAAAAUACUUCUUUAGGAGCCCUUACGGCAAAAGCUAUAGUAUAUAAUUCUAGAUUGGCUGUCUAGUCUUAAGUUGUUUUUUUUUUUUUAAGUAAAAAUAUGUUCCCUCCACAUAUGACACUUGUAGGAGUAGGACACGGCCUUAGAGGCUGGUGGAUGACACGGGAAGGAGAAUGCAGGUUGCCAUGUGGGUAUAGCAUGCUGGCAUCUCGUGCGUGUCCUCACUGCGCUCUCAGCCAGCCACAGAGAGCAGAAGGCUCUUCCGUUUCCCCUUCCUACUGCUCUCUGACUUUUCCUACCUGGCCUUCAGCUUCUGCCACUUCUCAGCUUUUUCCCAACUUCAGCCUGGGAAAACUCGAGUGUGGAGUGACUUUGGGUAGUUUGUUUUGUUUUCUGACUAAGCCACAGGAAAGAGAAUUCAUUUCAAUGAAGGGGUAAAGUUACCAGCACUUUGUUUCCUACUGCUUUAUUUAAAAGCCUAAUCGCACGGGAAAAAGUCACUAUCUAUUACUGUUUUGAGACUAUUCUUACCGUAGUCUAAGGUAUCUAAGAUCCUCCUUAGUGAUGUCAUUCAGAAUAUCAGAAAGUGUAUAACCCUCUUCAACAAUCUGAAACAGAGAUCAAAUAUGUAAGAGCCAAUAGCAUAGGAAUAAUCGCAUAGGAGUGGUUUUUGGUUAUAAAGUUACCUUUUCAAUUGUAUUCGCAUCCGCUCCUUGCAGCUGCAGCCAGUCUACAAGCUCUUUAUCUGUUCUCUGCCCAGAGGACCCAGGAGGGGAUGCUGAGGUCUCUGUAAUAUCUGUAAUGAUCAGAAAUUCGUUUUGUUGCAUAUUAAUCUGUAACAGUAAAACUCCUCAAAACUAACAAGUUGAUGAAAUAAACUAUUCCAGAAUGUAAA